GGAGACCCAAAAAGGUUCUCUGUCCAGUAGUAUCCAGUCAAUCGAGGGUUCCGGACUGAAUUCCUCCUAAUUUUGCGGGUGGUGGAGCUGGGUAACAUUGAGAACCAUCAGCAACAGCACUGACCAAGGCACCACACGAGGGAGGCAACAAACAAAAGUAAUUUCUGAUUUUCUACGUAGAUUAGCACCAAAUUUUCCUUAGUUAUAAUGAUGCUUCAAAUAUACGCUAUGAAUCAUUUGGUGAUGUCAUCUAAGUUCUGAAUGAUGCUUUAAAGUUUUUGUAUAGAUUAGUGGAAAUGCUGGCCGUUGUUAUAAAAGAGAUUCUUUUCCAGGGCGCACCUUUAGCCGAUGUUCCUCUUCAUGGCGUUUGAAAUGAUAAAUAAAUGACUCAAAUGUA